ACAAACUUGGUCAUUUAGAGGAAGUAAAAGUCGUAACAAGGUUUCCGUAGGUGAACCUGCGGAAGGAUCAUUAAAAAAUCUUUCGAGCCGCAAGGCUCUAUUAUCUUGUGAAGUGUUUGCUGUGCUAUGCACACACUUGAGUGUGUUGGUGGAAUGUUGAGAGGGAAGUUUUUCCUCUCGCUUCUGCCGCAUAACCUCUCAGUGUGUGUAUGUACGCUUUUAAAAUGUAUGGUUUUGAUGUACUGUUUGUAUGUUACAUUUAUAAUGUAAUACCCAAUACAAUACAACUUUCAACAGUGGAUCUCUCGGCUCUUGCAUCGAUGAAGAACGCAGC
rnacentral:misc_RNA from 1 species